rnacentral:lncRNA from 1 species
GGCGCAGUGGGUUGGACCGCAGUCCUGCUCUCCGGUGGGUCUGGGGUUCAAGUCCCGCUUGGGGUGCCUUGCGACGGACUGGCGUCCCGUCCUGGGUGUGUCCCCUUCCCCCUCCGGCCUUACGCCCUGUGUUACCGGGUAGGCUCCGGUUCCCCGUGACCCCGUAUGGGACAAGCGGUUCUGAAAAUGUGUGUGUGUGUGUGUGUGUGUGUGUGUACAUAAAAGAUAUAAGAGAUCUGUUUCAAGUUUCAGUUUCAGAUACGUGGACAAUAAUUUUCUUGUCAUGCUGGUUUUCAACCAAUGAGAUUAACUGGUGUUCAGUUACAGCAGGUAAAUUCGACAGGUGAGCAGUUCCUGGUGGACAUUUUCAUAGUCAGACACCGAUCUCCUCCAUACUAAAUAACAAUUUUGGAUAUUUACAAUACUUCCUAAGACCUGGUUUCCACAGAGACCCUUACCUGCUGUGUCCCAGUCCAGGUCCUGAAAUGGAGAGUUGUGCCUCAGAAAUUAGUCACUCUGGAGAAUGUAAGGAAUGGGAACCAUCCUCAGAAAUGACUCUGAACAGAGUCCAACAGGAAAGAAGAGACUCACCUGAACCCAGCUGUGUGUCCAUGAAGAGUGACCGGUCAAUGGAACAACCUAUUCGUUUCCAACAGGGACAGGUUUCUACAGAUGGAAGAAAUCAGCUGAAGAGAUGUGACUCGGCGCAUCAACAGGUUGAUUUAUCAGCAGUUUUCAAGUCUCUUGAGGACAAAGCUGUGAAGUUCCUGAGAGAUGAGUUGAACAAGUUGAAGAGGAAUCUGAGUCAGGAUUACCCAGCAUGCCUUGAGCCCCAGGCUGACAAUGACCUGGACAGUGAAGCUGAGAUCCAGAAGAUGUGUGGCAGAGAGGGGGCUCUGAAGAUCACACUGUACAUCCUGAGGACCAUGAACCAGAAGGACCUCGCAGACACACUGGAGAAGACUUAGCUUUAUUCCACAAUUUUAUCGGAUCACCGGCACCGAGCCCCGCCCUACCUGCCUGCACCUGACCGACCACAUCUCUGUGCUCAAGAGCUGCCUGUGCAUGCGCAACGACUCCCCCCGGAUUCCACUUGCGUCCUGUUUUAAUCUUACAAGAAUCAGUCUCACCACUGGGUCCCUUGUGCUUGACAAUAUCAAUUCUAAGCCAACCUUGGCACACUCAAAUUCUUCUACUAGAAUUGUCAGAGGCAACUCCAAGACCCCCUUUCCAUACAAAGCCACACUACUUGAACAAUGAGGAAGCCCCAACCAUCUCCUUAUAGCUUUGCUCAUAACACCUUUGAGUCUUUCCACCUCUGACAUCGAAACCUCGUAAACAAUUAGCGGCCACCUAAUACGAGGCAAUAGACCAAACUGCAAGCACCACACCUUCAGUUUCCCUGGUAAUAAAUAUUUAUCAGUCUUUUUAAUUGCCUGCA